GGCAGGGGGAGGCUCCGGCCAAUUUGAAUGAAGACUGGAGCUUUCGGCGCCAUUUUCGAGUGAGCAGCUACAGCAACAGCAGCUGCCUAGAGAGGCUCCGUACUGUAGUCCAGUAAUUUGAGCGAGGGGGCACUUUUUCCUGUUUGUUUCCAGAGAACAAAGAGAGAUUUUUUUUCCUGAAAUCUACCACAAAUUUGAGGCGGCUGUUUCCCGGUGGAUGGAUGCAGCGUACACAAAAGACGAUGUGUAGUGACAACAAAUAGUGGAGUCUGAAGUGAGCUAGCAGGCUAAUGUUGCUAGCAUCUCCAGCCAAGAAGGGGCGUCCGAUUGGAGCCGCGCUGUGGAAACGAUAUAUUUUGUAUUAUUUUUCGAAAAAAUCCAACAAAUACGUGGAUGACUUGAAAAUUCGAUAAAAAUUCGGAAAAUUACCGCAGGCUACGACGAAUAAAUUGGUGUGGGUUGUUUGGUGGAGCGAGGUGGUUUUGUGCAUUUUUUAAACGUUAAGUUUGAGCGGGAUUGGUGAUGUGAGCGAGACGGCCGGCGAGCCCGACAGCCUAUCAGUGAGCGAUAAACCGGGAUGCCACACCGACCAACACUGUCCUAUUCUUUACUACAGUUUUUGUUCCUCUUUCAGCGAAAAAAAAAGCGACGAUGACCAGAGUGCCUUUUGUUUUUUCCGUUUUUUUGCACGAACUAUAUAAAAACAGUGCGCCGUCAGAAUUUUCAGUUGCAAACUUUCUUUUUGUGGAUUUACAAAUAUUAUGAACGUUCAGGUGUUUUCGAAUUUUCCUGGUUGUGAUGUCAGAAACCAGACAACAAUUCAAGAUGGAGUCCUGGAAUGCCUCAAGCCCUGCUGAGAGAAAGAGAGAGAGGGAGGAGAGGAGUCACUCGCUCUGAUUCUGGCAGUGCUUGGUCAUGUUGCCGAGGGUGUGAGUGCGUGAUUGAGAGAGAGGGACCCUCUCUAGGUGAUGGUGUAGCAGCACAGAAUGGUUUGUGGUGAUACAGAGAUGCAGGCCGUGAUGUGCUGCAGCAUCAAUUCCUGGGACCUACGCAGUAGAGAGAGAGAUUGUCUGUGUGUAAAUGCGUGCACGUGUGUUGUCUUGCUUUAGCAGCAUGUAAAUAUUGGAGUUACUCCUUGGCCAAUGCCUCCAAUAUUGCUCGUGCUGCUGAAGCAAGAAGUCACCAAGCAGCACAUGCACGUCAUCUUUUUAUCACAGCUACCGGGGCCUAGCCGGCGCAGGUAGUGGCUGACUCACUGGUACUGAAAUACCUUCAUGGACUGAAUCAUCAUUCCAACAUCAUCAUCCAGGCCUCACCGGAGCAAACUGAAUGGUCAAAGGUAAAGAGAGAUGUAGAGUUUAGCUUUGUUUGGGACGUGAGUUAAAUAGCUUUUUUUUUUUUCUUUUUUUUUUAUUGGUUUUUUUUUUUCUUUAUAAUGUUCAUGAAAAAAAAUAUGUUUAUGUAAACAUUGUUUGUUUUCCUUUUUUAAAAAAUAUAAUUCUACCCUUGUAUCCUUUUUUUGUUUCUGUUUUCUCAUUAAAUAUUCACUAUUGAAAUCACUAUUAUUUUCCUAAACCUGCUGUUAAAUUUUCUGUUAAUGCAAAUAAAUAAUAAAACUGAAAAAGGGUAUUAAAAAGAGAAAAAAAAACCUCUGACCUGUCUCAUUUUAACGUAGUGCACCGUUUGUCGAUGUAUCUGUUGUUCAGCUUUUGUUUUUAACACUUUUUCACAGGGAGCGCAACUGUUGUCAAAUGAGGUUUUGAGAUUUACUUUUUGUGGUCGCUUUUCUGCUCUGCUGUGUUUCAAUACUGUUGUAGAAAUGUGUUUUAUUUUUCUGGUGGAUGAACCCGUAGCGUGUAUGCAUGUCUCUUUUAAAGUAUUCUUUAUUUCUGGUGACUACACUGAGCUAACAAAAUUGACUAACAGCUUUUUUUCCAGAUAAUAACCAAUACGCAAGAUUAUUCCGGUAGUUGCAACAGACGACAUAUUAACAUGGAGGCAAAUGUCUCCAGUUUUGUACUGGAGACAUUUGCCUAUCUUUCUUAUAUAACAUUAAAAAGCUUAUCGCCCAACGAAAUUCUUGUGUGGAGAAAGUCAUUUUUUCAGUAUUCCCGAUAGUUGUAUGACUUGUGUCAUUUCGUGUUAACAGUACAGGUCGUUGAUUAUGUAACCUACGUGACUGUGCCUAUAGGCUAUAAAACAAUAGAAAAUGGUUAUGAUUUUUGUAAAAUAUUGUAUAAAGGUCUAAAAAAAAUUAUAUCUCGCAAUGCGGGUCUUAUAUGCCAUUGAAAUAAUUUCCGCCAUUUUAUGAAAUGAAAUCAAAAAGACCCAAUUAUGAGCAGGCUAAAUCAUCUCGGCUAAAUAACCACGAUUUGAUCUUGUUCUUGCCAUAUUGUAUUUUGAGAAAUUAUCAUCCUAUUUAUUAAUUUAUUAUUUUGCCGGGGUGAAUGUAUUUCAGAUAACUUUGGGGAGUUUUAUAAGAGACCCUUUUAUACGCAGAAAUGCGUCUGGUUUUUCAUGUCUGAAUGGUGUAUUUUCCUCUGAUUUUUAUCACAUCUUGUAUCCUUGGCAAUAAAGAAAUGACGUUUUAUUUUUUGGUUUAAUUGGCCAGCACUUAAACCGUUGUUGCCUUUAACUCGUAACACGACCACUUCUGACACAUGUCGAUUUAAUCUUCUGACGCUUCAUUUUAGUCAUAUGAUGCUUUUAGAUAUGAACUAAAGAUGGUCAGCACAGCUGUGAUCAUAGGAACAGUGCACAGAGCUGAUUUUAAUCUAUUAUUUGGCUAUGGCAAAACAUACACAUUUUAACAAUUUAAAUGGAAAAGUUUUUUUAAAUAAAAUUGUGCAGUCACUAUGCAUCAUAUGCUCAGGACGUAGCAUAAAAUUGUCUUGAUAUAUAUUUUUUUAACAUAUCACGAUUUGAUAGGUAUAAAGACGGAUUUGUAAGCGACGUAUUUUAUUAAAUAGCCUACCUUUUUUAAUCACAUCCAAAAUACCUAUAUGCUGUUUUCCGCGUUUACCUUUUUUUUUUUUUUUUCUAGCCUACUUAUUUAGGUGUUAUGCAUGGAGAAGUCCCUCUUAUAAGAUGUUCUUUAUAUGGCCGUAAGAAAGUGUAUUUAAUUCAGAUCUCUUUUUUUUUACUGUCCGCUAAAGAAUAGCCUACACCGUUUUUUGUUUUUUUUGGUGCUUAAUUUUAAUUGUGAUUAGACUGGUUUUGCAUGACCUGAAUUGAUUACAGUUACUGGUCAACGUGUGUUCGGACAGAAGUACCAAGGGGAAAAAAAGGUCCGUCUUUUUUGUGUGUGUGUGUGUAUGUGUGUUUAUGUCGGGGCAAUUUAGGUUAGUCCAGAUAAAUUAUCUUACAGCUCUCGAAAUUUUCUGUGCAUACAGCUGCUGAUCGUCACGCUCCAUAUUUUAUAGACAAAAUAAUGAGUUUCAAAGUCUCAAAUCCUUACGGCCCUUUCGAGUGCCUUAAAUGUUAGAUGCAGGAUUUUUUUAGGUUAAUAUAUGGAAUUUUUCAUAGAAAUACACUAUGUAUUUUAUUUAUUUAUUUAUUUAUUUGCUUUCCCGACAACAUAUGACACUUUUUCCUGGAGUUUUGAGACAUUUAACAUAUGACAAACUAUAACCUAAUUGCAGAUGUUCCCUGUUGCUGUAUCAUUGAUCAUCAUGCAAUGUCGCUUUAUUUCAUGAUGCACCGCGUGACAUGCGGCUUAUAAUCGAAAUUUAAACGGUGAAUAUAUUAAUUCGUGUAUCUGGAGUAUUUCAGUUCUUUUUAAACGGAGACGUAUAUAUCAUGUGCAAACGCUUGUUUGCUGUAAGAAAAUAAUACAAAGCUAAUGCAUUUCACAUUUUGCUAGUUAUGUGGACACAGACACAAAAGACUUUUGAGGCUUCAAAUAAGACGUUACCGAGGUAUGCCAUGUAUUUCAUUUGACACAUUUUAAAGAUAAAUAAGCAUAAUGCUAGAACUAAAUAGUUUAUACAUGUAUGACGGAAAAUUUAUUUGGAUAUCCCUAACAAUUUUCAACUUUACAAAUAAAAAACAGCAACAUGCAAAGUGUAGCUUUUCAGUUCAGAGUCCUUCAAGAGACGAGUAUUGACAAACAAAUUAUUAAAACAACUGAAUCAUUAGAAACAUUAAACACAGAAAGAACAAGCGUUUAAAGCAAAAAGAAAUGGUGUUGAAGGAUUGCCUUUUUUCCUUAAAAUAAUAUUGAAGUUACUGGUGCAAGAUAGGUAGGGUAUGCGUAGAUUGAAGAUGGUGUCAUUAUUAUUAAGACACAAUGUUACAUUUGUUAAAAAGAGAGAAAAUCGAAGAAUUGGAGUUACAUAACACAUGGCGCCAUUUCAGAAUGAGCUUCCUAUUUGUCGGCAAUGCAUUAUGCAUGGCUUCAGAAAAUGCAUGUUUAUUAAUAAAUUCGUUGUUAUUCAAUUUACUUUUUCUUAUGUAAGGUUUUAUUUGGUAAAGAAGGUUGAAGUAGGUAAUUUCACUUUUCAUCCCCAAUUCGCCUGGCAACAGUCGGCUAAAUAUAUGUUCGGUGACGUGCGCAGGGCUCCAGCGGUGACGUCAUAUCAGAACAGAGUAGUCCGAGAAUCUCUCAGGAUUCCUGUUUAAACAGUGGGAAAAACGGGGAUACCUUCAAUUUUUUCUCUUUUUUUUCUAAACAGUCCUGACUGUUAAAUCUUGCACAUCUCAUGUCUCUCUUGGGUGAAAUUGUAAACAUUACAAAGACAUUGGUGAGCUCUGGUCUUUGAAUAGAAAUAUAAAAUAGUAUAUAAAAGAACUGCACCCCCCCCCUCCCCCCAAAAACA